rnacentral:rRNA from 1 species
UACGUAGGGGGCUAGCGUUGUCCGGAUUUAUUGGGCGUAAAGAGCGUGUAGGCGGCCAGGUAGGUCUGCUGUGAAAACUCGAGGCUUAACCUCGAGAUGUCGGCAGAAACCAUCUGGCUAGAGUCCGGAAGAGGAGAGUGGAAUUCCUGGUGUAGCGGUGAAAUGCGCAGAUAUCAGGAAGAACACCCGUGGCGAAGGCGGCUCUCUGGGACGGUACUGACGCUGAGACGCGAAAGCGUGGGGAGCGAACAGG